rnacentral:misc_RNA from 1 species
AAGUCGUAACAAGGUUUCCGUAGGUGAACCUGCGGAAGGAUCAUUAUCGUGGGGCUUCGGCCCUAUCGAGAUAGAACCCUUGCCUUUUUUGUACCUUCUGUUGCCUCGGCGUCUGCUUCACGGCGGCGCCAACGGGGCCAAAUAAUAAACUCUUUUUUAUCAUGAAAUAGUCUGAAAAAAAAAUAAAAGUUAAAACUUUCAACAACGGAUCUCUUGGUUCUG